CCUACGGGGCGCAGCAGUGAGGAAUAUUGGUCAAUGGGCGGGAGCCUGAACCAGCCAAGCCGCGUGAGGGAAGAAGGUACAGCGUAUCGUAAACCUCUUUUGUCAGGGAACAAAGGCGGGGACUAGUCCCCGGAUGAGGGUACCUGAAGAAAAAGCAUCGGCUAACUCCGUGCCAGCAGCCGCGGUAAUACGGAGGGCGCGAGCGUUAAUCGGAAUUACUGGGCGUAAAGCGCGCGUAGGCUGUUGUGUAAGUUGGGGGUGAAAUCCCACGGCUCAACCGUGGAACAGCCCUUGAUACUGCGCGG
rnacentral:rRNA from 1 species